ACUCCUACGGGAGGCAGCAGUAGGGAAUUUUCGUCAAUGGACGGCAAGUCUGACGAAGCAAUGCCGCGUGAGGGAUGAAGGUUUUCGGAUUGUAAACCUCUGUUAUAAGGGAAGAAAAGCCUGAUAUAGGAAAUGAUAUCAGCUUGACGGUACCUUAUCAGAAAGGGACGGCUAACUACGUGCCAGCAGCCGCGGUAAUACGUAGGUCCCUAGCGUUAUCCGGAAUUAUUGGCGUAAAGAGCAUGUAGGCGGUUUAUUAAGUCUGGUGUGAAAGCUAGUGGCUCAACCACUAAAUUGCAUUGGAUACUGGUAAACUAGAAUACUGGAGGGGCAAGUGGAAUUCCAUGUGUAGCGGUGGAAUGCGUAGAUAUAUGGAGGAACACCAAUGGCGAAGGCAGCUUGCU
rnacentral:rRNA from 1 species